GCCUUCGUGGUGUAAUGGCCAGCACACUCGGCGCGUUAUUCGAGAGGUCGGAGGUUCGAGUCCCGGCGAGGGCA
rfam:Stegodyphus mimosarum contig39151, whole genome shotgun sequence.